rnacentral:rRNA from 1 species
AUUGAACGCUGGCGGCAGGCCUAACACAUGCAAGUCGAGCGCGAAAGCACUUCGGUGUGAGUAGAGCGGCGGACGGGUGAGUAACGCGUAGGAAUCUACCUAGUAGUGGGGGACAACUCGGGGAAACUCGAGCUAAUACCGCAUAAGCCCUACGGGGGAAAGCGGGGGACCUUCGGGCCUCGUGCUAUUAGAUGAGCCUGCGUUGGAUUAGCUAGUUGGUGGGGUAAAGGCCUACCAAGGCGACGAUCCAUAGCUGGUCUGAGAGGAUGAUCAGCCACACCGGGACUGAGACACGGCCCGGACUCCUACGGGAGGCAGCAGUGGGGAAUAUUGCGCAAUGGGCGAAAGCCUGACGCAGCCAUGCCGCGUGUGUGAAGAAGGCCUUCGGGUUGUAAAGCACUUUCAAUUGGGAGGAAAGGUUCACGGUUAAUAACCGUGAGCUGUGACGUUACCUUUAGAAGAAGCACCGGCUAACUCCGUGCCAGCAGCCGCGGUAAUACGGAGGGUGCGAGCGUUAAUCGGAAUUACUGGGCGUAAAGCGCGCGUAGGUGGUCUGUUAAGUCGGAUGUGAAAGCCCCGGGCUCAACCUGGGAACUGCAUUCGAUACUGGCAGACUAGAGUGCGAGAGAGGGAGGUAGAAUUCCAUGUGUAGCGGUGAAAUGCGUAGAUAUGUGGAGGAAUACCAGUGGCGAAGGCGGGCCUCCUGGCUCGACACUGACACUGA